GUUUAAACAGCCACUUCACUGUUCAAAUUACUUAACUCAUUUUCUACCAUAAGUUUCAUUUGGGGAUUUAAGUAGAGUUAUAGGGUUAGGCCACUAUAGAGCAAGAAAUAAUUUUUUGUACAGUAGAAUAUUCCAGUGUUUAAACAGCCAUUUCACUGUUCAAAUUACUUAACUCAUUUUCUACCAUAAGUUUCAUUUGGGGAUUUAAGUAGAGUUAAGGGGUUAGGUCACUAUAGAGCAAGAAAAAAUAGGCAUAUUUUGGGAAUUUUUUUUUUAAAUGAUGGAAUAAAUCCCAAUUCCUAAUAAACUAAUAAACUCUAAAAAUUAAUUUUUGUACAGUGAUUCAAGUGAAAAUAUGAGCUCUGUAGCAUUUCUUAGAUGAUGCCUAUUUUUUGUAGGGCUAAGCAGCUCCUGGAAUUUUUAACUUAGGAUAAAAAACCAAAAUAUUUUCGAUUAUACAUGAGAACAGCUAUCGAACUACGUAGGAUAUUUUAAUAUAUUGAUUUUUGCAAAAAUGGUAUUUCAAGAAGAAAUCACCAGAAAAUUAUUUAUAACAAAAGAACUAUGAAAUAUAAUGAAAAAAUCCUACGUAAUUCGGUAGAGAAUUUAGUUUUGAAUAUACUGGUAAAUUUUCAAAUCGAUUGGUGAUGAUCUAUUUUGAUUUAUGAGUCCGGCCAGUUUGAAAAAUGCGUUUCAGGUUUUCAGUAAUGCUUGCUGCAUACCGGAAGGGGCUGCGGCAGAAUUCGGAAUUCGAGUACUUAGAGAUGUUUCCCACAUUUUUAAGACAUUAAGGCACCUUUUAAGCAAAAAAACAAAUUACGAUUUUUUCAAAAUUCUAGAGAGGCCUAACCUCAUAAGUCCCAUUUAGGAAUUUAAGUAGAAUUAAAAGAAAACCUUAUCUCUAUGGGUUGAUGCACUUUAAUAACCAUUUAACCAGAGAAGAAAUUUUUUAUACCAUUUUAUUCAACUAAGAUGUCAUAAAUAGAGAAGAAAGUUGGUGCAUUAGGAUUCUGCAUGUCAUUAGCUUAGAGGGAACAUUAUAAAAGAUUGAAAAACAAACUUGCUAGUAUGUAAAUCAAAGGAAAAGUUACCUAGAGAAUAUAAUGACCCCAGGGACCUGGUAUACUGUAUUAAAAGAAAAAAGGCACUAUGCAACAAGCUACGAAAGCGAGCUUGCGAGUGCACUCGAAACGUUUCGCCACAGCAAAACUGAUAACAAGGCAGAGGUAUACGUUCUGGCUGUGAAACAAAACGAGCGGAAGGGACGAGUCAAGACUGGUGCUUGCUGUUCAUUGUGUUCAUCUUGAAGAGGCCACGGAAUCAGUACAAUUUAUUUUUUAAUAUAUGCAAACUACGACACUUGGCAGAAACACGAAAUCAGCUAUAUAGGUCACUAUCUUAUGAGCGUAGAAUUAAAUAAGGAGGUAUUAUUUUGUACCAAAACCAUACGAUGAAUUUUAUUGAUAAAGUACCGAUUGUAAAUUAUA